GGUUGAUCCUGCCAGUCGUCAUAUGCUUGUCAUUAAGAUUAAGCCAUGCAUGUCUAAGUAUAAACUAAUUAUACGGUGAAACUGCGAAUGGCUCAUUAAAUCAGUUAUAGUCUACUUGAUCGUACAAUUUUUCUUACUUGGAUAACCGUAGGAAAUCUAGGGCUAAUACAUGCUAAAAACACUGACUAUCAGGGGCAACUCUGGUUCGGAAGGUGUGAAUUUAUUAGAUUAAAAACCAAUGCAGGGUUCGCUCUGCUUCUCCCUAGACGAUUCAUGAUAACGCAUCGAAUCG
rnacentral:rRNA from 1 species